GUAGAAUGGACCGGCGAGUUACGAUCGUAUGCAAGGUUAAGUGGAAGACACGGAGCCGCAGCGAAAGCGAGUCUGAACAGGGCGUAUCGAGUAUGCGGUCGUAGACCCGAAACCGUGUGAUCUACCCAUGUCCAGGGUGAAGGUCAGGUAACACUGACUGGAGGCCCGAACCCACGUAUGUUGAAAAAUGCGGGGAUGAGGUGUGGGUAGGGGUGAAAUGCCAAUCGAACACGGAGAUAGCUGGUUCUCUCCGAAAUAGCUUUAGGGCUAGCCUCAAGUUAGAGAGUCCUGGAGGUAGAGCACUGAUUGGACGAGGGGCCCUUACCGGGUUACCGAAUUCAGUCAAACUCCGAAUGCCAGCGACUUUUGCUUGGGAGUCAGACGAUGGGUGAUAAGGUUCAUCGUCGAGAGGGAAACAGCCCAGACCGCCAGCUAAGGUC
rnacentral:rRNA from 1 species